rnacentral:lncRNA from 1 species
UGUGGACUAACUCACAUGAAAUAAAAGGUCAAAAGACCAAAUUGGCAUGGGCUUGGCUUGCAAUAAAAGAACCAAACAUGACCUUGGGCUAAUUAAACUAAAAAAGAGUAUGUGUGGCUAAGUUAUAUGAGGCGAUUACAAACGCACUUCUUGGUAAGAGGUACCUAUUGGCAAGAGACACCUUAAAAGAGUAAGACUUGGCUCAACACAAAAGAGAACAUUAGAUGCUUAUUGAUUGUUGAAUGCAUGAAGAGAUACCUUUUUUAGGAAGAAGUGUUUUUAGUUUAGUGGUUAUGGCAAGUUGCAUAACUACCAUCCAAGCUCCUAUUUUUUAAUUCAAACGGGAAGACUCCUUUAUAAAAACCUCUACAUUGCAAAGAGAUCAAUGGUGAGUAAUCUAAAGAGAAAGUAAACUUUGUCAUUCUUUUGUGGGGUUUUGGGCUCUCUAGUUAGGCAAAAUUGUUCAAGUGUUGGUGCACUUUAAAAUUUUUUGUACAAGUUGGGAAUGUUCUUGUAUCUACUAAGUUGUCUUGUUUACAUUUACAUUCUCUUUACCAUGUGGCUUUUAAGAAGGUUGGUUAAGAUUGGUGUAUUAGUACUACACACUUAGAAAAAAAAAAUUGGUGAUGAUUUUUUGUGGUGUGACA